rnacentral:tRNA from 2 species
GCCCAGGUGGCGAAAUUGGUAGACGCAAGGGACUUAAAAUCCCUCGGAGGGAAACCUCCAUGCCGGUUCGAGUCCGGCCCAGGGCA